UAUUCUGCCCAUGCGGGAAGGAUGAGAAGCUUCGACUAAGGUUCGAUUCGAGCGUCAGCGAGAAAGCGUUGCCGCAGGCAACGACCCGAAGGGCGAAGCGCGCAGCGCUGAGUCAUCCUUCCCCCACUACCA
rnacentral:sRNA from 1 species